UACGGAGGGUGCGAGCGUUGUCCGGAUUUAUUGGGUUUAAAGGGUGCGUAGGUGGCUUGUUAAGUCAGUGGUGAAAUACAGCCGCUCAACGGUUGAGGUGCCAUUGAUACUGACAAGCUUGAAACAAGUGGAGGCUGCCGGAAUGGAUGGUGUAGCGGUGAAAUGCAUAGAUAUCAUCCAGAACACCGAUUGCGAAGGCAGGUGGCUACGUUUGAUUUGACACUGAGGCACGAAAGCAUGGGGAGCAAACAGG
rnacentral:rRNA from 1 species